UACGAAGGGGGCUAGCGUUGUUCGGAUUUACUGGGCGUAAAGCGCACGUAGGCGGAUCGUUAAGUCGGGGGGUGAAAAUCCCUGGAGCUCAACUCCAGAACUGCCUUCGAUACUGGCGAUCUUGAGUCCGGAAGAGGUGAGUGGAACUCCUAGUGUAGAGGUGGAAUUCGUAGAUAUUAGGAAGAACACCAGUGGCGAAGGCGGCUCACUGGUCCG
rnacentral:rRNA from 1 species